GAUGAAGAACGUAGCGAAAUGCGAUAAGUAAUGCGAAUUGCAGAAUUCAGUGAGUCAUCGAAUCUUUGAACGCACAUUGCGCCCCUUGGUAUUCCGAGGGGCAUGCCUGUUCGAGCGUCAUAUUAACCACUCCCGCUUGCGGGGUCUUGGGCUUCGCCUCCGGGCGGGCCUUAAAAUCAGUGGCGGUGCCGUCGGGCUCUACGCGUAGUAAAUUUUCUCGCGAUAGGGUCCCGGUGGAUGCUUGCCAACAACCCCCAACUUCUUAAGGUUGACCUCGGAUCAGGUAGGGAUACCCGCUGAACUUAAGCAUAUCAAUAAGCGGAGGA
rnacentral:misc_RNA from 1 species